UACGGGGGGGGCAAGCGUUGUUCGGAAUUACUGGGCGUAAAGGGCUCGUAGGUGGCCAACUAAGUCAGACGUGAAAUCCCUCGGCUUAACCGGGGAACUGCGUCUGAUACUGGAUGGCUUGAGUUUGGGAGAGGGACGCGGAAUUCCAGGUGUAGCGGUGAAAUGCGCAGAUAUCAGGAGGAACACCAAUGGCGAAGGCAGCACUCUGGGACGUGACUGACGCUGAGACGCGAAAGCGUGGGGAGCAAACAGG
rnacentral:rRNA from 1 species